AACGAAAUCCAAAAGAUGCCGCGAUUCUCUAUCAAUUUCUUCUGUAAAUUGUGCUGCGAAAAGAAGAAUACCAAAGUCAAGAUCCCUUCAUCUUUUCCUACAAUUUGCCAGAAUCCACUUAGAUUUUUCACAUAAAUGGCAUGCGAUCUACGUCACCUCUAAUCAUUAUGCUAGGUAUGCUUCAAGUUUGAACGCUCGUUAAAUUAUUCCAAGAAAAAUGUUGAAAACAGGUUGUAGGCAUUUGCAACGAAUAGCCAGCCUGGAGUGCAACGUAUGUAACAUAAUCACGAUAACAAUGGAAAAUCCUAAUCUAAUGAUUCCGUUGCAGGUACUUUCAGUUUCAAAAUUGAGCAACUGGCUGGAAAUUGAAGCCUUGGGGCUGUUGAGUGAUCUUCACUAGCUCCGAAAAACGGUUACGAAAUGGACAAUGACGGGGUCAUGAUAUACCUACAAUUCGUGUCCCACUUUCGUUUUUGCCAAUUUUGCAAGUCGCUCUAAAUUUUUACAAAACUGCCGUUCCCCACAAAUACCCAUGUUCUCAAUUAAUUGCGUUAUCACCGCAGGAUCAGCGACUUACGAAACUCCUACUUAUGACAUUCAACGUUCAAAGUUGAAAUAUGCUCAAAAACUACCAUGAAAGCUACCUCUGAAGAAAUGAUUUGUCGAUGACUUUUUUACAUUUAUAAUUUUUGUUCAUCUAGGAUUCCCUGUUAAAAAGGUAUCGGUGAUACUACGUAGUAAUUUGAUUGUAACAAAUGGAAGAAAUUUCCGAUCUCUAUAAUUUGCGAUUGCAAGUAGCCCACUAAUUAUAAUAAGUGUUCGGAUUUUGAAUGUUUCUGCAAUAACGUGCAUCCGCACUAUUAACUACAUUACGAUAGUUAUUGAAUCUGGGUAAUUGAUUUGCUGGAUUCAGAACAUCAUAUCGACGGUGAGUAUGUGAUUUUACAUUUUAUUGAGUGAUCAUCUUCCCACAAAUGCAAAUUUGUGCCAGUCAUCCGAAGAGCCCUGACUAAUUGGAAAGGAAAACAACAUGCGAUAUGCACACUACACCCCGGUGCCAGAGGCAAGGGAAUUCCGUACGAAGUUUUCAGCCGGACGGGGAAGUACAGUGUUGAAGAUUCACCUACUUUGUCGAUGUCGCAUGCGAUAGAGCCAUAACUGAAUCUUUAUUAACGACAGUUCAUUAUCUGUAUAUUCCAUCGUAAGGACAUCCGCUGGAUAAGCCAGAGGAUGAGGAACCUGCGAAAGAUGAUUUGGAUUUAGUAAUCCCCUUGACUUCGGCCUGCAGCAACUAUACCGAACUGUAGUGGUAAAAGCGCCGGUUUUCUACGUAUAAUCGUUAGAAUUCUUCCAUUCUCGUGUAACAUAGUAUACCCAUAAUAUAUCGAACUACGCAUGUUGUUGCUGCAGAACGCGGGACAAAACUACUUUCGAUAUUUCGUCACGUGAAUAGAGUAUUAGGUGCUAGUUGAAGCGGUUUCAGCUGCGCUGCUGCUGCUGCCGCUAGAUAUCAAGAUAUUUACUUUCAUUGCCCGGCUGCGUCGAUGACACGCUGCAAGGCCGUCCCACGAUUUAAUCUCGUACGAUAAAAUUGGGCCAAAUAUGAAUUUUACCAGAAAUCCGCAAUCGAGAUCAAACUCUAAUGAGCGAUUUCGAAACAACGCGAACUCUGUCGAGUUAUAAUAUACUUUUGAUUUGGUAUCAACGCAUAAUUUAGAAAUUCUUCAACGCCUCGGUAGAGAUGACCUCUUAUGUUUCGCGUGUCCCGAUCCAACAUCUCGACAUUCUUGCCUUUUUACUCUAAGAAUUACCUUCGGUACGAAGGUGAAGUUGAAUAAUCACAAUAAUUAGCGUCAGUAGUUAUUUAACAUAUUCGCUAUGCAGGUCUACCGGACAUCAUAACUAUUUGCGUGAUAAUUGAUAAAUAAAUAAAAAUACGAUCCAGACGUGCGAGAAAUCGGUUUUAUGUAAUUCACGAUUGAAUUUAAUUAGGCCAUAUCUAGUUUUCAUUCCAAGUUUGCUAUCUGUGCCAUGUGGUGUCACAUUUAUUAUGCAGUGGCCUUGAAAUCGGGGAGUUAUGCGAUACCUAUACGUAUACAGUCACUUAUGUUUCUAGGCCUCAAGUAAAAUUAAAAAGCGAACUAUGAUUUCAAUCGGACGUAAUCGCUUUGGUCGAGACUAGCUUGCACCUGACUAUGAAUCGGGUGCCCUUGAAAACUCGGGUCGUUUUCAUUUUCAAGGUUCUCGUUAUCGAGAGAUUUUAACCAGCUCUCUAUUCUCUCUUUAUCACAAUGCGUUUCGUAUUAUGUACAUUCUUUCGGCUCUGCCAUCCGACUUCAACGGGGUGCCGAUACACAGGGGACAUGGUGAACAUUGAAUGAACACUGCAAACGAUAAAGCCGUUUGCCUCGAUCUAGGAUUAGAACUGGCAAACAGUGGCCAAUGAACGACUGCCGAGAACAAGUAUGCGGAUUGCGACCAAAAUGAAAGUAAAUACGAAUAACGGAUGUCGAAGAGUGCUUUGAAAGAGAAUCGCUGAGGAUAUCGUAACAGGUUUUCCAACCCGGUUGGAAAAAAUUUCUCCCCUGCGAACCGACCUCUUCGCGAGCUGCGCGAACCACUUGCGGGUGCAAUGUACUACGUACGUACCUACGUUUUCCGAAUUGAAACUUGGGAGUUGCUACGUAUGUUA
rnacentral:lncRNA from 1 species